ACCUGACUGGCUCAGUCGGUAAAGCAUGCAAGUUUUGAUCUUGGUGUUGUGAGUUCAAGCCCUAUGUGGGGUA
rnacentral:tRNA from 1 species